rnacentral:lncRNA from 1 species
GUCCUGAAUAUGCAUGAAAUAUUUGCCACUGGACGUUAAGCAACCAACAAUCAAUCAAUCAAUCAUAUCCCUGACUUGUUUCAUGCAUUUUGUUAUGAAAUGGUGGAAUAAAUCUCUCUCUCUCUCUUGCAUGACAAUCGUGUAAAAGUCCAUUACAUUGACAACGAUGAGUGAUCAAAACAAACAACCAAACGUAUAAAAUAGGGGUACAGCAGUCAACUUUGUGGUAAUAUCUGAAUCACUUUCAUUCAAACAGAUAUGUAAACAAAAUAUUUACACAAUGACGGGAUGUAUGAGUACACAACCACGUCACAUGCAAGAACGAAACACAGUCUAAAACACAGUCUUACAGUCAGAGCAAAUUAGCAAAAAAAAAAAAGAAAGAAAGAAUAAACACCAUGUCCGCCACUAAAAGCUUUCUCAUUGGCUCCACAUGUAUGAAAUAUUUUCUACUAGACUUUAACCAGACUACAAUGAUUCAACAAC